rnacentral:misc_RNA from 1 species
GAGCCUUGAAGCCACCACCAACAACCACUCUACAAAAAUAUCAACCUUUUCUCUCUCUAUCUCUUGACCAUUUCUCACCGAUAUCUCCAAUUCCAAUCCCUAGUAUCUGUGAAAUUACAUCAAUGUCCUCCACCUCCUCAUCCUCCUCCGGCGACGGUCCACAAACUAAUUCUAAGCCCCUUGAAAACCAAUUCGAAUCCUUUACUAUUGAAGAAUCCAAUAGCAUCGUCCAAAACGACGAAGCAACGGCUGAGCCUCAACUAGAGUCUUCGUUUAAUGGAUCGCUGGACGAUAACGGUAAUCACGAAGAAUUCAACGCUUUAGAAGAGAGAAUUGAGGUCGGAAGCGAAGUUAGGGGCAU